CGCGACCGGCUUCUGCAACCUCCUGGACCGCCUGAUGAUGUCUUCCACCCUGGGAUCCCAUCGAUGGAGGUGGGAGGUGUGUGAGCGGUGUUCCUGACCUCAGACAGUGAUCCCAAUCAGGAGGAAUACCCUGAUGCUGCAGUCUGGACCCUCUGCGCUGAAACCAAAUAGUAUAAUCGUGUAAUGAGGGAUCCCUCUCCAGGAAACAUACUCAAGUAGGAAAGCUGGCAGCUGCUCCUGCUGAUAACUUGCAUGGUUUAUUAUAAAAGCACAAUUUCACUUAUCUCCCAGCGAAUGCAUCACAGCCCGACUGGAUCAUGAUUGACUCCCAUCACGAAAGAAUCAGGACAGCAUUUAGACUGAGAAAGCAAAAUCACCUAAUUUGAAAGCGGGCAUAAUUGACCAAUCAGGAUCCACUAUUGCAAGGAUGUCUUAUACUAUAAGAUAAGGCUAUAUGCAAAUCAGAAUGAUGUACACCAGGCUUAUCUUGAGCUAUUUAAUCCCAAAAUGAUAAA